rnacentral:rRNA from 1 species
CCUACGGGGGGCUGCAGUGGGGAAUUUUGGACAAUGGGCGCAAGCCUGAUCCAGCCAUUCCGCGUGAGUGAAGAAGGCCUUCGGGUUGUAAAGCUCUUUCGCAAGGGAAGAAAACUUAUCCUCUAACAUAGGAUGAGGUUGACGGUACCUUGAUAAGAAGCACCGGCUAACUACGUGCCAGCAGCCGCGGUAAUACGUAUGGUGCGAGCGUUAAUCGGAGUUACUGGAGGUAAAGCUUGCACUCAGAGGUGAAAUCCCCGAGCUCAACUUGGGAACUGCGGUUGAAACUACAAGACUAGAAUAGGUCAGAGGGGGGUAGAAUGCCACGUGUAGCAGUGAAAUGCGUAGAGAUGUGGAGGAAUAUCAAUGGCGAAGGCAGCCGCCUGGGAUCAUAUUGACGCUCAUGCACGAAAGCGUGGGGAGCAAACAGGAUUAGAUACCCUGGUAGUC